GCUCGCGCAAGCGAGGAAAACCUUGGUGCCUUGGGAGGGGCCCGCGGCCUAUCAGGUAGUUGGUGAGGUAACGGCUCACCAAGCCGACGACGGGUAGGGGGCGUGAGAGCGUGGCCCCCCACACGGGAACUGAGACACGGUCCCGACGCCUACGGGCGGCAGCAGUGAGGAAUCUUGCCCAAUGGGGGAAACCCUGAGGCAGCGACACCGCGUGCGGGAUGAAGGCCUUCGGGUCGUAAACCGCUUUUCUGGGGGACGAGUAAGGACGGUACUCCAGGAAUAAGUCCCGGCUAACUACGUGCCAGCAGCCGCGGUAAAACGUAGGGGGCGAGCGUUAUCCGGAAUCACUGGGCGUAAAGGGCGUCUAGGCGGCAGCCUAAGUCCCGUGUGAAAGCUCCCGGCUCAACUGGGAGAGGGCAUGGGAGACUGGGCAGCUAGAGACUCGGAGGGGGGUGUGGAAUUCCCGGUGGAGUGGUGGAAUGCGUUGAGAUCGGGAGGAACACCAGUAGCGAAGGCGGCACCCUGGCCGAGAUCUGACGCUGAAGCGCGAGAGCGUGGGGAGCGAACGGGAUUAGAUACCCCGGUAGUCCACGCCGUAAACGAUGACAACUAGGUGUUGGGUGUCCAAGGAUGCUCAGUACCGCAGCAAACGCGAUAAG
rnacentral:rRNA from 1 species